rnacentral:rRNA from 1 species
UACGUGGGGGGCAAGCGUUGUUCGGAAUUACUGGGCGUAAAGGGCUUGUAGGCGGCCAAUUAAGUCAGACGUGAAAUCCCUCGGCUUAACCGGGGAACUGCGUCUGAUACUGGAUGGCUUGAGUUCGGGAGAGGGAUGCGGAAUUCCAGGUGUAGCGGUGAAAUGCGUAGAUAUCUGGAGGAACACCGGUGGCGAAGGCGGUUCUCUGGGCAUUACCUGACGCUGAGGAGCGAAAGCAUGGGGAGCGAACAGG